UGUAGUUUCGAAAGUUAAAAGCAAGUGACUAUGCCUAUAACUUCGGCCAGGGUGACCUUCUACCACCGCUUACCAUAUACUAAUUGAUUUAAAUUUAUUUAUUUUUGGUCACUAACAAGCUUUUAAUUGCAUCGGGAAAAAAUAAAAAAUAAACUGUUGAAGUUUUAUACUUAAAACGUUUCAAAGAUCCAUCAUAUUUCUUUGAAAAGAAUCUUUUCAGUUUUAGAAAGAAUAAUCUUCUUCUUUAUAUUUACUUCCUUUGAAUUUUCUUCCUACAUUUUCAUUUACAUCGUAUCCUAUUAAGUAAACUACUUUUUCCUUCUAUAUACUACAGUUUACCACUGCAAUAAUUAUGUUUUUUUUUUUUUUUUUAAAUUCAGUAGGAUCAUAAUUUUUAGGGUUUUUUUGUUAGAGUUGGAAGUACAUUGGAAUUAUCAACUCAUCAAUCUCGACUUUUGUAACAAGCUUAAGGUCUGUUGAUACUCAGAAAGUGCAGCUGCUUUGCAAUAAUAAGAUAAGCAUGUGAUGUUUGGCAGGAGUGCUUUUCUCUUGUAUGCCACCAUAAGCUGAAUCAAAUUUCUUGUUCUUUCAAAAAUGGAGGAAAGUGAGGCUUCAACUAUACCUGAUGGGGAGUUGAUUGGAAUUAAGUUCGACCUUGCAAGCGAUCAUGAAAAUUUUAAGUAGGCAGCUCAAUUUUUCAGUCAUAUGCUUUAUGUGUGUCAUGAUAUACAAUGCUGCUAGUUAGUUUGGUCGGUUUGUAUACUUCGUAUUUUUUUUUAUCAAUAAGUCUUGUAUUGAUUUUCAUUGCUCCCUGAUGGUUUUAUAAAGUACUAUUGUUGCUCUGUAUUAGCUUCCUAGUUUGGGCAUAUCCUGCUGUCUAGCUUGAUUUAGGUUGUGAAAUCUUUUUUUUUUUCCUGCUGAAAUCAAGCCUCUACAAAAGCAAAUGUACACCCUAGUGAUGAAAAAUAAUCGGUGGGAGUCUUUUCUUUUGAAGCGUAAAGAGUGUAAUAUAGUUUGGUUAAUUAUCAUGGAAUUGUACAUAUAUCUGAUUAUUAUAUUAUUUGUAUAUGGUGGUUGUGCAAGAGAUGGACAAAUAUAGUUUCUUGUUUUUGUAGUUAUAAUCUGCUACACA